rnacentral:lncRNA from 1 species
UUGCUAGAAUAUAAGGAAGUUUCACAUAAUCGUUACAAAUUUAUAUUCACAUGUAGUGAAGGUCGCUUAUAAACGAUCGCGUUAAGUUCAAUUCCUAGCAUAAGCGACAUGAUGUCAUAGUUGCAAGCGCUUUGUCAAUGCUUAUGAUUUUCAUUAAACGUAAUGAUCUUUGAUUGUAUCUCUAUUACGAUGUCAUGUAGGGAACUUUUGAAGAAUGUUUUGGGUUGUCGAAUGAUGUCAUCCAAUCCAAUAAA